UACGUAGGGGGCAAGCGUUGUCCGGAUUUAUUGGGCGUAAAGAGCGUGUAGGCGGCUAUGCAGGUCCGCUGUGAAAACUCGAGGCUCAACCUCGAGACGUCGGUGGAAACCGCAUGGCUAGAGUCCGGAAGAGGAGAGUGGAAUUCCCGGUGUAGCGGUGAAAUGCGCAGAUAUCGGGAAGAACACCCGUGGCGAAGGCGGCUCUCUGGUCCGAUCCUGACGCUGAGGCGCGAAAGCGUGGGGAGCAAACAGG
rnacentral:rRNA from 1 species